ensembl:lncRNA
AGUGUGAAAUAGCAGCAGGAACCGCAGUGCUCUGCCAGCUUCCCUCGGCUCUGCUUUGGAUUAAAGCAACCAGAACUGCAGUCAGAGCAGCACAGUGCUCGAGAUACUGUGACAGUCCCCUGGAGGUGUCUGCCUUGCUCUGCAAGCAAGUCUGUUGCCUGAAACUCAAUACGUGCCUCCUCAAAGCUGGAGUUCCAGUGCAGCCGUCAUGUGAGCAGUAACUAGAUGCUGGGAGAACUUCACCUGAAUGUCAUCCGAUUGCUGCACUGACCCAUUGCUUAAACCUGCAUUUAGUCCCACAUUGAUGAUACAAUGAAAUUUGGUCCUUCCAGGGACAGAUACUUCCAUUCUUCUGAGAGUAGAAUUGAAAGUAGUUCCUUGGCCCAUUGCUUUAGUCAAGUUGAUGCCCUCUGCAUUCAUUGCCCAAAAUGUAAAUGGUGCAGGAAUUCUGAAUUAAAGCUUACGACGGAGGAUUCAAACUGUUUGCAUGUUCUUGUUCGCACACCAAUAGUGAUAAUUCACAGUAGAGGCUGGGAUUUGAACAUUCAAAAUAUUUUUCAUUUCUUAUGUGGCAAAUUUGGCAAAGGCAUUCUACCUCAUGUGUGGUCUGCACUCCAAAUGGAAGACUGAAAUUUGGAAGACAAAAAGGAAGCCAAAGAUGUCUUGAAGCGCUAUAGGCCUCCAGAAAAGCAGACGCAAAAUACAUCCUAACUUGUAGUUUGGAUAAUUAUGAAUAGGACUCUCUAAUAAUUGAGAACAGAAUGAGCCAUCUACCAGGCUGAGAAGUUGUAUGAAAUGAUUAAAAGAAAAUGCAUUCAGUGGGUAUUGCUCAAGCUUGGGAAAAUUCAUUUGGGAAGACAUUGGAGUUGCAAAAAAUCCUUCAGACUGAAAGGCAGGGGGGAAAAAAAAGGCAACAAAAUGAUCUACUGUCCUGUUGUAAAGUGCAGAGUAAUCUCACAGUAAAGUCCAAGGAUGGUGUCAAUGACGUAAAACUUUAUUGUGAUUUGUAACUGCAAUAGUCUGCCUAUGUGCUCUGCUUGAAAGGAAAAAACGAAAGAGAAAGUCACGUUGCACAGAGGUAUGAAUUUACAGAAUCAAGUAGAGAUGUACCAGCCUUAGCCUGGAGCUGAAUCAGGUUCGGCAUCACACAGUGUUUUAAAAACUCCUAGGGGCAAACAGAGAAGGAGCACCCAACUGUGUGUUGUGUUAUACACAGCCAGUUUGGAUAAAUUAAAAAUAUACUGAAGCCUUUCUCUUCUUGUAAUGCUUUUUCAAAUGAUGUUUCUAAAUAGAACUUUUAAAAGAAUGUUUCCACUCGUGUUGAUAAGCUGUAGUUGAGACGCAUAAUUUGAGAAGAAAUAUGAAUGUAGAUUAGUCUAAAUAUUGAUUUAUUUUUACCAAAUAUAUUCUAAUACAU